rnacentral:tRNA from 1 species
GCCGGAAUAGCUCAGUUGGUAGAGCAGAGGACUGAAAAUCCUCGUGUCACCG